UUGACCUCGGAUCAGGUAGGAAUACCCGCUGACUUAAGCAUAUCA
rnacentral:rRNA from 1 species